UAGGCAGUUCGGGCAUGGAGCCGGGCACAGGGGUGACGCCCAGGCCCUUCUCGUCUUUCUGUUCCGUUUUCUUCGGAGGUGGGCUUCGGCCUCUGGCGUGUGGCCUGGUGAUCCCCAGAUGGCUGCUCCAGCUCCAAGUCUGAGCUCCAGGAGACAGAAAGGAGACAAGCUCCGCACCUACUGCGGGUAGACUGUAACCUGCAAGUUCCAGAACAGGCUUCAGAUUCCAGCCCUGCUUCCGGCAGGUUUUGACUUCAAGACCAGAGGUGUCCUCAGGCUCCAGGAGGCUUUGCAUUGCAGAGAAGUACGUGGUAUCGGCCCAUUCCUGUGGCUCCUCUGUCAUCUCACACCCCCAGCGGCCUCGGAGGGCAGCUUGUGCCUGCUCCGGGCUCCACCGUACGCAUGCGUGAGAGGACUCUUCACCCAAGCAGAAUGUCUUGAAAGAACACGACAUAUAAAACAGAUGAGGCAGAGCUUCUCUCGUGGAAGCGAGGACACUUCUGAGCAUCACAUCCGUCGUAUCUCAUGGAUACCGUGACCUCUGCACCGCGCUGGGUUUUCCAUCUGCCAGUGGCCGCCAGAAAGCCGUCAAAUGAAGCUCCCCCCUUGGCUAGGCGCGGAGGUGGCGACAGUGGACACUCUCAUCCUCACUCCUGGCUCCUGGACAGUUGCACGGUGUUGGUUCUUUGGCAUUUUUCUGUUCACGAUCCUCUAAACGUUCCUGCGUGAAAAUAGCAGCUUGUGUGGGCCAGAGGGCACCACCGUCAACCCUUUCCCCUGUCCCAUUCUCAUCCUGCCAAUUCCUGCUCCGUGGUCAAAAACACAUGAGUGGCACCGAGGGAACCAGGAUCUGGCGACUACCUAGGCCCAAGACGACCUUGGGAAACAGCGAGUAAAGGAAUAGUGAUGAUAGCGAUGAUGGUACAAGAACAUCUAUUGAGCGGUCAGUCCUACGCAUCAAGGGUUUUGUACAUACGCGCUCACGGAACUGAAUGCUAUGCGUUAGGCACCAUUUUUAUUCUCAUCUUAAAGAUGAGGAAUCUGAGCUAAUCAAGCGGAGGAAAAAUUAGGGGCUCUGGAGCCGCGGAGACCACCCGGCAAGGCUGUGGCCACGCCCCUUGGCCAGGACUUGAUUGGCUAGAGAUUUGAUUGGCGGGCGAGCGGAGCCUGGGAGCCCGAAUGAAGAGGGCUGGCGUGCUUCCCGAGUGGCAACUUCUGUGCAUUUCAAAUUUCCUGAUUAAA